GGGAGAGGAUGGGCCACUGGUGGGCCUCCCGGGCUUCAACCCCGGCGGGCGGCGUGAAUGCGUCGUCGGUGAGUUCGAUUCUCACCCCUCCCG
rnacentral:tRNA from 1 species